UUUUUACUAGGGACAUAACCUAUACAAGUUUUUAAACCAGGCGCAUGGUAGGGAAUUCUGUUAUGCUUAUAGUUUAUAUUUUAUCAGUAUUUUUUCGCUGAAUUGCACGCGUUUCGAAUGAAAAGUUAUAUAACAAUGGGAAGCUUAGAAUUAAUACAAACAUUAAGUGGACAUUCUGGAAGAGUUUGGAACGUUUGUUGGCAUCCAAAAGGCACGUAUCUUGCGUCGUGCGGAGAAGAUGCGAUCAUCAGAAUAUGGAAAGAAACUAAUUCCGAUUGGAUUACGACUAUGUUAUUAACCCAGGGUCAUACAAGAACCAUUAGAGAAAUCGCUUGGUCCCCUUGCGGAAAUUACAUUGCUUCUGCCAGUUUUGAUGCUACUACAUCGAUAUGGGAUGGAAGAUCCGGAGUAUUUGAAUGCAAUGCGACAUUGGAAGGACAUGAAUAUGAAGUCAAGAGUGUAAGUUGGUCUUCCAAUGGGCAAUUACUUGCAACAUGUAGUCGUGAUAAAACCGUCUGGAUAUGGGAAGCAAAAGACAAUGAAUAUGAGUGCGCUUCGAUCAUUAAUGCUCAUACUCAUGAUGUUAAAAAGAUAAGAUGGCACCCUAACAAAGACAUUCUUGCAUCAGCUAGUUACGACAAUACAGUUAAAAUAUAUGAAGAAUACCUACUCGACAGCGACUGGACGUGUUCUCAUACAUUAGCAUCUCAUCAAUCUACAGUUUGGAGUCUUUCUUUUGAUAAAACUGGUGAACGUAUAGUUACAGUUAGUGAGGAUAAAACUGUUAAAAUAUGGCAAGAAUACAAAGCUGGGAACACAAUUGGCAUUUCUGUCACAAAUAAUGAAUCAGUUUGGAAAUGUGUUUGCACUUUAUCAGGAUAUCAUACUAGAGCUAUUUAUGAUGUAGAUUGGUGCAAGAUAACUGGAUUAAUUGUAACUGCAUGCGGAGAUAAUAUGAUCAGAAUAUUUAAAGAAGACAGUGAUUCUCAUAUGCAUGAACCAUCUUUUUCAAUGGUUUGCUCAAUGAAUAAUGCACAUACACAAGAUGUAAAUUCUGUUCAGUGGAAUCCUACCAUUGCUGGUCAACUUGCAUCGGCUAGCGAUGAUGGCUUAGUCAAAAUAUGGCUUUACAAUGAGCAAAAUGCAUAAAUGUACUAUUACUACUCUUCCUUUUACGGAUUUGGGGAAUUUUUCCUACGAUAUCUGCUCAACACAGCUCAACACAGGUGUUCCAAAACAGCCACCCAUCAAAGUUUGAAAAUAGAUGUUGCGAAAACUACCAGCAUUCGUAUUAAAUCAGAAGUUUUGUUUUUAUACGUUAAUCCGACAUUACAAUAAAACACCUACCAUGACUGAUCUAAAAGCUGAUAAAAUGGGCUUGCCGUUGAAA
rnacentral:misc_RNA from 1 species